UACGGGAGGCAGCAGUGGGGAAUAUUGCACAAUGGGCGAAAGCCUGAUGCAGCUAUGCCGCGUGUAUGAAGAAGGCCUUAGGGUUGUAAAGUACUUUCAUCGGGGAGGAAAAACAAAACUAAUAAUUUUAUUUCUUGACGUUACCCGAAAAAGAAGCACCGGCUAACUCCGUGCCAGCAGCCGCGGUAAUACGGAAGGUGCUAGCGUUAAUCAGAAUUACUGGGCGUAAAGAGCACGUAGGUGGUUUUUUUAAGUCAGAUGUGAAAUCCCUGGGCUUAACCUGGAACUGCAUUUUGAAACUGAAAUACUAGAGUAUCGUAGAGGGAGGUAGAAUUCUAGGUGUAGCGGUGAAAUGCGUAGAUAUCUGGAGGAAUACCUGUGGCGAAAGCGGCCUCCUAAACGAAUACUGACACUGAGGUGCGAAAGCGUGGGGAGCAAACAGGGAUUAGAUACC
rnacentral:rRNA from 1 species